ACCCUCCUUGUCUUGGGGUGAGCUGCUGUUUAAUGAGUGAAUAGUGAGAAUUGCACUGCUGACAACACAUUGUUACCACUAUUGUAUCUGCAAUAGAAAGGUGCAAUUUUUGGACUA
rfam:Xenopus laevis strain J chromosome 2L, whole genome shotgun sequence.